rnacentral:lncRNA from 1 species
CAAGAUCUAGACAUGGUAACUCCGAGGAAAUGGAGCUUACCAACCAAGUUGAUGUUUGACUCUGUCUACUGGAAAAGACUAUCCAGCUGUCUAUCAGGACCUGAGGAAUGAAAUGCAGUGUCCCCGGCAAACGGGACGUCAGUACGAAAUAAUGUACCGAGUAUGUAAGGCAAUAGAAUUACUAAAAACUGAGACUGAACUGAUAAUAUCAUAAUUGAAAGUGCCACACCUCCUUUUUCGGGGGAUUGUGGAAAGAAAGGAGUUUUUUCAAUUUAAGUGACAUUAUUUGAAAAGGGAUUAAUUUAUUUUAUUUUAAAGAGUCGCCACUUGGAAUAAAUAUUUACGGUGUCCCAUGUCAUCAUUUAUUUUAAAAUCCCAAUUCAAGAAAAUUGACUUUGUUUAAGUCUGCAAAACACAGAAGACUAGGGAAGGAAUUAUGUUAACCCGGGAGAAGGUGUGAGGCACUCCCGAGUUAUGUGGUUCUAGCACGGUCACUUUAGCAAUUAUACCUGGCUUAACUAAUUCUGUAUAUUUUAUAAUCUUAGGAAAAUUUAUGCACUUUUGCCUUAAAUCGCUUUUAAUUGCUUGAUUCUUUGUAAUUAUGGAAUUAUCUUGAAACGAAUCACGCGUACGUGUAUUCGUUUUAUUUGGUGUGUCAAAAAUCAUGUCACGCAUACGUGUACAUAAUUAAUAACACUUUAUUAUUUUUAAGAUUGUUUUGCCAAAGUCGCACGAACGCAUACUUUGCCUUUAAUUUGGGAAAUCAUAAUUAUGUCAUGCGAACGUGUACAUAAUUAAUAACACUUUAUUAUUUUUAAGAUUAUUUUGUCAAAGUCGCGUGAACGCAUACUUUGCCUUUAAUUUGGGAAAUCAUAAUUAUGUCAUGCGAACGUGUACAUAAUCACGACAAUUGAUUGGUUAACACGCGCCUACAGUGUACUAGAGAUUUAUGAGUUAUUUCUCCUAAACUAAUUUGAGAUUAUUGUGAAGGCCAUGAUUUAUGGAUAUAUGAUUAUUUGUGGAAGAAAGCAUGGCUUAGCUAUUAUUAAUAAAUCACUAAUUAUAAUUUAGCAUUCUAUCUUUUGAGAUUAACGAUAAUAUUAAUGAAAUGGAGAGGAUUAACUAUUGGAAUAAAUAAAGCAGCACAGACCAGCCUAAUAACUGAAGCUCAAAAUUUAUUAUAGGGUCCAAAUCUUCCCAAUUAGAAGUCGAAGUUCCGAUACUAUGUUUCAAAACCAACCAGUGGCCUAACUCUAGCCCAUUCCCAUGUAGCCCAUUAUAUGUCAAAUAGUCAGCUUCUGUAUGGCAUACUUAAAUGAAAUUGGUAAGAUAACUUGACAACUAAAUCAACCAAAAAAGUUAUCAAGAUAAAAUAAUCAUAUCCAAAGGCUAGGUCCAUUUAAACAUGUAGAGUAAAUCUAAAAUUACUGUGACCUUUCAAAUGCUAAGACCGAAUUACUCAAUUCACUCUAUGACCCCUUAAUAAUUCAUCUAAAAGUUACUAACUAAAGAAAACGAAGGAAGUAUUCAAUUUAAACAAACCAACUAAAACAAACAUAAUAUUGCAUUUGGAAAUUAGACAAAGAAGGGACCUUUAUUGCUGACUAUUCAACUGCUAAGAUUUAUUCGGAUCAACAAGGAUCCCAGACCGCGUUACAACUGGACGUUUGAGCGGAACCUCGUCGGCGACCUCGCUUCACUCAAAGGGUGUUUCUGGGUUAUUUUUGCUGCUGUUUUGCUGGGUUUGAGUGGCUUUUUGGAGCUCUAGUGACUGAUUUUUAAGGUGAAAGGGAGGGCUGGUUUUUAAUGGUGAGAUGAUGAUGAAAGAGAAAAGCUGAAACGGUGGAGCUAACGGCGAAAUGGAGAAGAUGAUGGAGCUACCACAGUGUAUGGCAUUUACUGGUUUUCUAUGGUUAGGGCAUGGUGUUUAUUGAUGUUACAGGAGAGGCUUGAUGAAGAAGAAUGAAGAAAAAAAUGCUCAGCUAUGGUGGAAAGCUCUUUGGUGCUCUAUAUACGUUUGUAGAUUUUUCUUUCCGAUCCUCUCUUUUCCUUUGCUCUCAAUCUCGUAUUUUUCCCCCCUCUAAUCUAAAGUUUAUGCCAAUUAUCUAGAGAAUGUGUAUGAGUGUGUGUUGAUGGAGAAGAAGAGUGGGAACAUGGGGGAAUCGUGAGGUGUGUGCUGUGAGAAGUUUUGAGGGAGAGGGGACGUGAAAAGUGGGGUGAGAGACGUAAGGGGGAUGGGAAUUGGAAUUGUUACUAUAUAUUUUUAUCGUUUUUGUGC